GGUCCCCUCUGGCUCUCCGCGUGCGCCGGAGGCUGCGGGAGAGGCGCCCGCUCAGGCCCCCGCGCCGGAUCGGCAGCGGCACGUGGGGCCCACAGCGCGGCAGCGGUGCGGGCGAAGGGAGGCCGGUUUCUCUCUUUGGUUAUCUAGCUGUAUGAGUGCCACAGAGCCGUCAUAAAGCUAGAUAACCGAAAGUAGAAAUGACUCUCACAACUUCUGCGUGCGAUCGCCCGCUCGGCCGCCCUGGCCACAGGAGCCAGAGGAGCCCAGAGACGUCCACGCCACCCAGGGACUCCAACUCGACGGAGCGGCCGCGCCCGGACCAGAUUGGGCUACACGGUUCCACUUUCCACUAACUAGUCUCUUCUUAAAGAAAAGGCUUGUGGGCCCUGAAAAUGCGGCUGAAAGUACAGUUGGAAGCCAGAAUUGGUUGGGCUCUCAAAGAUGUCAACCCCUUUCAUUUUACAACUAGACACACGGAACCUUUGGCAGAAGGUCGCACGGAGGCCACUUGGCAGGGCAGGGUUGCGGGCAGCCCUCGAUGAUGAGGCUCUUCUUCCUUCCUGGUCCACGGAGUUUCAACCCUGACCCAUACCAGCCUCUUAUGGGCCUCAGCGCAGCCAAUGAAAAGCUGGCAUCAGCAGACAUCACCGAAACGCAGGCUGCUGCGAGGCCAGAGGCCGGCUCUAGACUGAUCCAGGAGUUCUCGACCGCAGUCGGACCUCCGGGGAAAUGGGAACAGAGCACGAAGCAGCGGGGCCAGGAGGCCUCCCAGGACCCAGCGCGACGCUGAAAAGCAUGAAGGGUCGGAAUUAGGCCCUCAUUUAGCGAGCGUUACUAAUCCGAAGUUACAGCGCUAAUUCCCUGAUCCCGCCGCUCCCACACGCAGCGCCGGGAUUAGAGGCAAGGCCGCCGCCCGCCCCGCCCUCGCCCCCAACGCCCAGCCCUGCGCCCUGGGGUCCGCGGGAUCCCGCUAAGCGUGCAGUCCGGGCUGCGGAGCCCGGUGUGGAGAGCUCGGCCGGGAGCCCCAGAACAACCUUGCUGGGACUGAUGCGUCCUCCAGGGUCCAGGAGAAACUGCCAGGCCGGCCGGGCUUUCCCCCACCCGGGUGUCCACACCCAGAGCAGCGGCCUUUGGAGGCUGCGGCGCCAUUUUAAUCUCCUUCUCUUCCACCCUUGGCUUCUCACAUGCGUGGAGUGGGAUUGUCCCUGUCCCCUCUUCCACCCAGAUGGAGCCCAUCCUACCUUCCUCCACCCUGGUUUAAAUGACCAAUCAGCUCUGGCCCAGGGUGGGAUGCGUUACCAUGGCGACAGCCAGAGCCCCCUAGUAGUGCUACCCAUCACAGAGGGUGAGUCUUCAUUUCACCUGGAAGGGCAUAACUAGGGACAAGCAAGAGGUAGGGGACUGAAGGAAGGCUGUGACACUUUAUCCUCUCUCACUCCAGUGAGACCCUGUGUAGAUGUGCACAAUGUGGACCCCAUGUUGGUAGAUAUAUGGGCUUGUCCCUGCUUUUUAUUUUUUAAAUAGGUUUUUCAUCUACUGAGGAUGAGCUCUCCAUGACCUUUCUUAACAUGGUCCGAAGGUCCCUCUCUCUCUUCCUAGAGAGCAGCCUUCUGGAGUUCCCAAAAGCUUUUCCCAAACUGCCCUGAAGUCCUGUGAUUUCAGGCAAGUCAGUUUUCUCACCCAGAAAUGGGUUGUUUGCUCAGGUGCAUCCAAGGAAAACAAUGUAUAGUGGGUGCUCUAUUGUACAAGGCCUGUCCGGGUAAGACCCAAAACCUGUGAUGCCCUUUCUGUCUUGGGUAGCCAAAUUCGGGUGUCUCAUGCAUUCCUAGAGUUAGCUUUUGAUUUCUCCUCCAGAAGCUGGAAAGGGGAGAGAAGGGAGGGGCGUUAGAAGUAGAGCCAGGGCGGGGGCUGUGACUGGAACAAAACCUUGGUCAGUGGCUCUGAGAAUGGGCAGCCGCAGCUCCUAUAGCGCUGGCUCCUUCCUUCCAUCCCGGUCCGGCUUAAGCACCGCUUUAAGUGGUCCCGGCAUUCACUGGCCAGCCCCUCACCGCAAUUGAGCCGCAGGGGUUUGAAAAGAGGGCCAGGGCCUCAAUGACAGGACCUUGGGCCAGGCUAAUUGGUUUUGGUUCAAGGGGAUACUGGAUUUGUGAAAAGCUCCAAACCGCCUUUCCCACGCCAGACCAGGUCACAGCAGUACCGGGCGAGGUUAGAAGAGAUUGGGGCCAGGGGAGAAAUCUUGGAGCCAGGUGCCUAGGGCUGAUCCUCUUGUACCACCCAAAACACGCCUCUGUUUGAAGAGUAGAGGAUUGUGAGGGACCUCAGGAUCACCUGUGUUUAGCCGCAGGCAGGUCCUGGAGACAGUUACCCUGCACGCCUGGGCUGUGUCAAGAAAAGUCUCCCAUCUUUUUCCCUUUGGCUAGCCCUCCUUGAGAGAAGAUCCCACUUUCCCUGCUGGGAUCAUUCGGGGGGGGGGGAAACCACAAAAAAAAAACCAGAAAUGGUGGAGUUAAUGGUUCUUGCCCAAGAGCUAAACCAAACUUGGGCUUUGUCCUGAGACUGUACAACAGUUGGUCCCAAGGAAACCCACUUGUCCCUUGACAUGCCUCUAAACUGAGCACUAGCAGACACUUCAGAAAUAAACAGGAGUUCCUUAAUACUUGAAAACAAAAGUGGGGGUCCAAAGGUUUCUUUGCAGUCUCAAAAACCAAAUGCCUUAAAUCUAUUAUGACUGCACAAACUUUGAUGGUAAAUCUCAAAAUGUUUGCACCAAAUGGUUUAUAAUAUACCCGUUCUUAAGUGUGCGUGUGUAUAGAUUUUAUUGAUAUGUGGGAUCCUGCAUUUGUAUUAAGUUGUGGGAACGUGCUGUAAGACCCACUUUACUGGUUUUUUAAUGCUAUGGCUGCUCAGCAAGUGCUCUACCCCAGAGCUACAUCCCUAGUCCAGCCCCAUUUAAAGUGACAUUGCAUCCACAAAGACCUGCGUAUUAUCUCCUAUUGUGUAUUGAAUGGAACAUUCCAGUGUGAUCUCGAACUGCAGAAACUGCCUGCCUCAAUCUUCCAAAUUUUGCCCUGUGUUUGCCUACUUGAAGCAUAUAAUUAGGAAAAACGUACUUGGGAGAGAUAAAGAACUCUAUGUAUUCCAUUUUCUAUUUUUAUUUCUAUUUUUAAUUGCCCAGAGCCUAGUUUCUCUGGGCCUCUGUUGAUUUGCACAUUGGAGAUUCAUGUGUAAAUAUGCAUGUGGCAUGUGUGCACGCCGGGGUUUUCUUAUCACCAAGUGUGCGUUCUCGGUGUUUAAAUACACACAAUCCACAUCGACACAUGAUUAUGGGCUUACUAUUUGCCUCUUCUCUAGAAUCGGGUUAAUUUUCCCUCGGCUAAUCCUCAAACCCAUUAAGUUCUUCUCUCCCCACCCCCACAAAAAAAAUUGCAAGCCCUACUACAGACCAGUGGGCUCGCCCUGCUUCUCCAGCAGGCAGCUCUCCAGGCAGGGUGCUGGAGUGAAGGUCCCUAUUAGGCAGACUUCAUUAAUGUUACCAAAUAUACCCCGGCACAUUUACUCGUCUACUAUGAAGUAUUAUCAUAAAUAAUUAAAAUUAAACUGCACUUGUCAAAAUAAA